rnacentral:tRNA from 1 species
GGUGGAGUGGCCGAGAGGCAAGGCAGCGGCUUGCAGAGCCGCAUACAUGGGUUCGACUCCUAUCUCCACCUCCA